rnacentral:rRNA from 1 species
UACACUCCUACGGGAGGCAGCAGUGGGGAAUAUUGGCCAAUGGGCGCAAGCCUGAUCCAGCCAUGCCGCGUGAGUGAUGAAGGCCCUAGGGUUGUAAAGAUCUUUCACCGGUGAAGAUAAUGACGGUAACCGGAGAAGAAGCCCCGGCUAACUUCGUGCCAGCAGCCGCGGUAAUACGAAGGGGGCUAGCGUUGUUCGGAUUUACUGGGCGUAAAGCGCACGUAGGCGGACUAUUAAGUCAGGGGUGAAAUCCCGGGGCUCAACCCCGGAACUGCCUUUGAUACUGGUAGUCUUGAGUUCGAGAGAGGUGAGUGGAAUUCCGAGUGUAGAGGUGAAAUUCGUAGAUAUUCGGAGGAACACCAGUGGCGAAGGCGGCUCACUGGCUCGAUACUGACGCUGAGGUGCGAAAGCGUGGGGAGCAAACAGGAUUAGAAACCCCGGUAGUCC